AGGAAUAUUGGUCAAUGGGCGCGAGCCUGAACCAGCCAAGUAGCGUGAAGGAUGAAGGUCCUACGGAUUGUAAACUUCUUUUAUAAGGGAAUAAAGUCACCCACGUGUGGGUGUUUGUAUGUACCUUAUGAAUAAGCAUCGGCUAACUCCGUGCCAGCAGCCGCGGUAAUACGGAGGAUGCGAGCGUUAUCCGGAUUUAUUGGGUUUAAAGGGAGCGUAGACGGGCCGUUAAGUCAGCUGUGAAAGUUUGAGGCUCAACCUUAAAAUUGCAGUUGAUACUGGCGUCCUUGAGUACGGUUGAGGCAGGCGGAAUUCGUGGUGUAGCGGUGAAAUGCUUAGAUAUCACGAAGAACCCCGAUUGCGAAGGCAGCCUGCUAAACCGCCACUGACGUUGAGGCUCGAAAGUGUGGGUAUCAAACAGGAUUAGAUACCCUGGUAGUCCACAUGGUAAACGAUGGAUACUCGCUGUUGGCGAUAGACUGUCAGCGGCUUAGCGAAAGCGUUAAGUAUCCCACCUGGGGAGUACGCCGGCAACGGUGAAACUCAAAGGAAUUGACGGGGGCCCGCACAAGCGGAGGAACAUGUGGUUUAAUUCGAUGAUACGCGAGGAACCUUACCCGGGCUUGAAUUGCAGACGAAUUGCUUGGAAACAGGCAAGCCGCAAGGCGUCUGUGAAGGUGCUGCAUGGUCGUCGUCAGCUCGUGCCGUGAGGUGUCGGCUUAAGUGCCAUAACGAGCGCAACCCUCGUGUCCAGUUACUAGCAGGUUAUGCUGAGGACUCUGGACAGACUGCCAUCGUAAGAUGUGAGGAAGGUGGGGAUGACGUCAAAUCAGCACGGCCCUUACGUCCGGGGCUACACACGUGUUACAAUGGGGGGUACAGCAGGCAGCUACCGGGCGACCGGAUGCCAAUCCCGAAAGCCUCUCUCAGUUCGGACUGGAGUCUGCAACCCGACUCCACGAAGCUGGAUUCGCUAGUAAUCGCGCAUCAGCCACGGCGCGGUGAAUACGUUCCCG
rnacentral:rRNA from 1 species